GAUGAACGCUGGCGGCGUGCCUAAUACAUGCAAGUCGAGCGAACGGACGAGAAGCUUGCUUCUCUGAUGUUAGCGGCGGACGGGUGAGUAACACGUGGAUAACCUACCUAUAAGACUGGGAUAACUUCGGGAAACCGGAGCUAAUACCGGAUGAUAUUUUGAACCGCAUGGUUCAAAAGUGAAAGACGGUCUUGCUGUCACUUAUAGAUGGAUCCGCGCUGCAUUAGCUAGUUGGUAAGGUAACGGCUUACCAAGGCAACGAUGCAUAGCCGACCUGAGAGGGUGAUCGGCCACACUGGAACUGAGACACGGUCCAGACUCCUACGGGAGGCAGCAGUGGGGAAUCUUCCGCAAUGGGCGAAAGCCUGACGGAGCAACGCCGCGUGAGUGAUGAAGGUCUUCGGAUCGUAAAACUCUGUUAUUAGGGAGGAACAUAUGUGUAAGUAACUGUGCACAUCUUGACGGUACCUAAUCAGAAAGCCACGGCUAACUACGUG
rnacentral:rRNA from 1 species